UCCGAGUGUGGCGGGAGAUGGGACGGGGAUGAAAAUCUCUGCGUCUGUUCUGGGACGAGAGCACGCAGAGAAAUGGGGAUGGGGGGCAGGUGGGGAGUGGGUGACAGACCCAGCGGCCCUGCAGAAGCCAAGUGGAUCGCGAGGGGUACAAGUCUGAACUUCCUUGACUUUUGGACUAGAGAGUCCCUCGCCUCUCUUACUCAGGACCGUUGUAUUUUUACCCAGCCUGUACUCCGUCUGCUGAGUGGCAUCGCCAGGUGAGCUCAGAUAGUAUAUUUUAAUUGGAUACUCUCUCACCAAUUUAGAAGCUUCAUUUUAGGUUCCUGUCACAAAUUAUGUGUAUUAAUGUUUUAUAAUUGCAUGUGUACUUUAAAUGUUAUUAUAUCCAAAUGAAUAUAUAUGAUUUAAAUUUCAUUAUGUCCAAAUGAAUAUAUGUAGUUCAACAGUUAAGGAUUUGUGCAUAUUCAAGGUAGGAUGUGCCAAAGAGGCCUCAAAAUUGAAUACAUAUGGUUUUUGUUUCCGGUGGUACUUUCUCAUAUAGUGUUCAAUCAUAUUUUAUAAUCUGUAACAUGUUUAAAAAUACAUUGUCUCAUUUCAUUUGACACAUCUUUCCCACAGUGAGGUAACUGACAUUCAAAGAGCUUACAUGAUUAAUUUCGCACAUGUUAAGUAAGUGAAGGAGAGUAUCUUUCCGGUCUAUACCGUUGCAUCUCAGUAUGCUUGCUUCUUUGUGGUAUAGAAAUAAAGUAGAGGGACACCCAGGAAAAUAAAAAGGUAGAACUAAGCCAGUUCUUUCUCUUCUCCUUCAUUCACUAACUUGGAAGAAAACCAGUAAAAAAUAAAGAAAAGAAUUAAUUUUUUGAAGAAUACUUCUGUUCACAAGUAGGCAUUUGUACAACAUAUACCCCAUGUUCUUGUAAAUGAAAUGCAAGUGUGCUUUGUACUGUAUUUGAAUGAACUUUUUGGCCAACCUUGAGUAUGAUGAAACACUAGAAACUUAAAUAGUAGUGCAUACAAAUGAUGUAACAAGUUAAUCUUCCCAUAAAGAAGUAACUUUGGAUCGAUUUUAAAUUUUUUCUAAAUGCAUUUCUGAGCUGGCAUGGAAUCAAGGAAUAUAUGACGCCUCCCCCAACCCCCAAAAUGGAAAGCCAGAACUUUAAGACUCAGUGCUGCUUCAGUGCCAUUACCCUGACGACUUCCCCUGAACUCUGAAGACCUUGAGCUUCUACUCUGACAAACUGCAUGGAGUGGUGUAAACAAGAAAUAAAACCCGCGUCUGCCCAAACAGAGGGAAGUGAAAGGGGCCCUCACUGUAAGCUUGGACUCCCAAGAGCUAAAUCUUAAAUAUAAGGAGAAGUGAAAUCCACCACAAGUCAAAUUCAUGCUACCUGUGCUGGGAAAAUCUUCAAGUGGAAAAUUUAAUUUAUAGCAAUCUCAGGUUGGUGUGCCUGGAAAAUCCCAUGGAUGGAGGAGCCUGGUAGACUGCAGUCCAUGGGGUUGCUAAGAGUCGGACACGACCGAGUGACUUCACUUUCACUUUUCACUUUCAUGCAUUGGAGAAGGAAAUGGCAACCCACUCCAGUGUUCUUGCCUGGAGAAUCCCAGGGGUAGAGGAGCCUGGUGGGCUGCCGUCUAUGGGCUCGCACAAAGUCAGACACGACUGAAGCGACUUAGCAGCCCCAGCAGCAGGUUGGUGUGCUCUGAAUUUACAGGUAAAAACAAGUAUCCAUCCUCUCUGGAUGGCUUCUCUGGUGGCUCAGUGGUAAAGAAUCCGCCUGCCAAUACAGGAGAUUUAGGAGACAUGGGUAUGUCAUCCCUGGGACAGGAAGAUCCCCUGGAGAAGGAAAUGGCCACACUCCAGUAUUCUGAUCUGGGAAAUUCCAUGAGCGAGGAACCUGGCGGUCUACAGUCCAUGGGAUUGCAAAAGAGUCAGACAUAACUUAGUGAGUAAACUAUCACUAUCACCAUCUCCUCUGGAGAAAUUCAUUGUCUACCCAAGCCUUAAAGAAUUUUGGAAGAUAGAGUGUCAAAAAAAAUAAGCUAAUAGUAAAAAUCAGAGAAUACACAAAGGCAACAUGAAUGAGAUAUUUAGAAAUAUAGAUUAUAGAAAUAGGUCUAUAAUAAGUGUAGAUUUUUUUCAAAUAAUCAGGUAUUAUUUAAAAUCACCAUGUUUAAAUGGGGCUUCCCUGGUGGUUCAGACAGUAAAGAAUCUGCCUGCAGUGAGGGAGACCUGGGUUCAAUCCCUAGGUCAGGAAGAUCCCCUGGAUAAGGGAACAGUUAUCCACUCAAGUAUUUUUUCCUAGAGAAUUCCAUGGACAGAAGAGUCUGGUGGGCUAUAGUCUAGUUCAGUUCAGUCACUCAGUUGUGUCUGACUCUUUGCCACCCCAUGGACUGCAGCACACCAGGCUUCCCUGUCCAUCACCAACUUCCAGAGUGUGCUUUAACUCUAAUCAGUGAUGCCAUCCAACCUUCUCAUCUUCUGUCGUCCCCUUCUCCUAUUGCCUUCGAUCUUUCCCAGCAUCAGGGCUUUUUCCAAUGAGUCAGUUCUUUGCAUCAGGUAGCCAAAGUAUUGGAGUUUCAGCUUUAGCAUCAGUUCUUCCAGUGAACAUUCAGGACUGAUUUCCUUUAGGAUUGACUGGCUGGAUCUCCUUGCAGCCCAAGGGACUCUCAAGAAUCUUCUCCAACACCACAGUUGAAAAGCAUCAAUUCUUCAGCACUCAGCUUUCUUUAUGGUCCAACUGUCACAUCCAUACAUGACUACUGGAAAAACCAUAGCUUUGACUAGACUUACUUUUGUCAGCAAAGUAAUGUGUUGCUUUUUAAUAUGCUAUCUAUGUUGGUCAUAGCUUUUCUUCCAAGGAGCAAGCGUUUUUUAACUUCAUGGCUGCAGUCACCAUCUGCAGUGAUUUUGGAGCUCAGAAAAAUAAAGUCUGUCUCUGUUUGCAUUGUUUGCCCAUCUAUUUGCCAUGAAGUGAUGGGACCGGAUGCCAUGAUCUUAGUUUUCUGAAUGUUGAGUUUUAAGCCAACUUUUUCACUCUCCUCUUUCACUUUCAUCAAGAGGCUCUUUAGUUCUUCUUCACUUUGUGCCAUAAAGGUGGUGUCAUCUGCAUAUCUGAAGUUAUUGAUAUUUCUCCCGGCAUUUGUAAUUCCAGCUUGUGCUUCAUCCAGCUCAGCAUUCCAUGGGGUCACAAAGAAUCAGACAGGAGUGAGCAACUAACACUUUCACAUGUUUAAAUAUAAAGACUUAAAAGUAUGAAAAAGAACAAGAAAUUUUAAAGAAUGACCCCAAAGUUUAAAACAUAAUGAAAUAGAAGUUUUAGAAAUCAAAUUAACAACUCGAUGGAUGAAGUGGUUAAUUAUAUCAGCAGAAAAAAAUGAUUAUUGAAUUGAAGAAUCAUUUUAUGUCCUUUUUUUCCUACUUAAUCUCCCAAUACCUCCUUUUCCAUCCUAACUCUUAGCUUCAUACUUUUCUAAAUUGGAAUAAUCAGAACAAUCCACAUCUCUCCACCUACUAGUCUCUGACCCACAUAUUUUGACUUCUGUAGAUUAUCAUAGAUAAACUGCUUGUACUCUUAUCAGAGACCAAUCCCUCCACUUGGAUUUUGGUCCCAUUCCUUCUUUCCAAUUCAAGGACAUGGCUCCAGAAAAUUUUCCCUUUCUCUUCUGGUUCAUUGAUCUUUUUUUUUUUUUUAACCUUCUCUAAUGGACUGUUGUUGUUGCUAAGUCAUGUCUGACUCUCUUUGCGAUCCCGUGGGCUAUAGCCCACCAGGCUCUUCUGUCCAUGGGAUUUCUCAGGCAAGAAUACUGGAGUGGAUUGCCGUUUCCUUCUCCAGGGGAUCUUCCCAAUUCAUGUAUCAAACCUGAGUCUCCUGUAUUGGCAGGUGGAUUCUUUACCACUGAGCCUGUUACUGUCAUCAUAAAACAUGCUGUUAAUUCUACUAUUUUAAAGUUCUCUCUUGACCCACCAAUCUAUUAUGACUCCGCUUAGUUUUUACCUUUCCUAUAGAAAAACCCCUCAAAAGAGUUUUCUUUACCUUUCCUAUUCUGAUCAUUCACCCCAUUUCAGUCUGACUUUUGCCUCUACCACUUUUCCAAAAUGGCUCUUGUCAAAAUCACUAAUGUCUUUCUUGCUGCUAAAGCCAAUUUUUUGCUAAAGCUAAGAUUUAAAAACUAUUUGCAGACUUUUUUCAUAGCUCAUCACUCACUGUCUUUGACAUACUUUUGUUUUGUUUUGUUUUUAUUUCCAAGAUAGUAUAUUUUUCUGAUUUCUUUCCUUUCUACAGGCCAGUCUUUCUUAGAAUUCCUUGCAUUUCAUCCUCUGCCCCGACUCCUAAUUGUUUGAACCUCAAGGUUCAAAUCUUAUACUCUCUCUUCUCUCCACCUUGGCCAUCUCAUUUAGUGUCUUGGCUUUAAAUACCAUCUAUAUGGUAUUUAGUAUCUAUAUCUCAGAAUCUCCAGACUAGGAGUCUCAGCUCUAGAUCCAUAUAUCUAACUACUUUUUCAGUGUUUCCACUUGGAUAGUUAAUAGGUAUCACAAAUUUGACGUAUCAAGAACUAAAUUCCUGACUUUUUCCCCCUCAAAUCUGUUCUUCUCACUGUCUCCUCCCCGUUAAACAUAUGCUGUAGCUGCACUGACCUUGCUAUCCCUCAAAGCUGGCAGAUAUGCUCUUGCUUUGAGUCCCUUGGACCUGCAGUUUCCUCUGCAUAGCUAACACACUUCUCAUGUAUUCAGAUGAUUCACUCGCUCACUUUCUUAGGUUUCUGCUUAAGUGUCACCUUACCUGCCAGUGUCCACUUACCUAAAUUGUCACCUUCCAUGAUCAUACAACAUGAAAGAGAAACCCUUCAUCCUCACCUCGUACUUCUCCAUAUUCCUUUAGCCUCUGCUUUAAAACUUUUCGGUGGUUUCCUGUGUAACCCAGUGUGGCAUAAUACAAAAACGUGCUUGCUGUUUGUCCCCUGUUGUUGGCACAGAGCUCCUAAAGCCUUGGAAUUUCCUAAGAAAUAGGAAUGCUCCUUUCAGUCAUACCUGAGUUUAUGCUGUUGAGGUGACUUAGGUGGGAACCCCUAGAGAGCUUAAGGUUCAUGAUCCUGGUCCAAAAAGGCCAAGUGCUUAGAGGAUUAGAACUUUUGUCCCUACCCACUGACCUCUAGGUUUGGGAGAGGAUGAGGUAGCUUGAGCUCUGUAAAAACUCUUAAGAGAGUUUUUGAUGAGUUUUGAUGAGCUCCCAGAUUGGUGAACACAUAGACUUACUGGGAGGGUAGCUCAGAGGCAUGGAAGUUUUGCACGCGCACCCCAAUACCUAUCCUGUGCAUCUCCUCCUUUUGUCUGUUUUUGAGUUGGACCCUUUGCAUAAACACAAAGUGUUUUCCUGAGUUCUAUAAGUCAUUCUAGCAAAUUAUCAAACCUGAGAAGGAAGUUGUGGGAACCCCUGUUUAUAGCCAGUCAGUACAGGUAACCCAAGGCUUGAAACUGGCAUCUGAAGUGGGAGCAGUCCUGUGUGACUGAACCCUUAAUCUGUGGAUUCUACUCCAAUUCUAGAUAAUAUCAAAAUUGAAUUGGGCACCCAGUUGAUGCUGGAGACUUGGAGAGUUGGCUGGUGUGGGAAAACAUUUGACUCAGAAAAGCCAAAAUUUUAAUAAUAGGUCCCUAAUUCUCCUUUUGUUGUGGUUUAGUCACUAAGUCAUGUCCGACUCUUUGCAACUCCAUGGACUUCCCAACACAGAUAUUGAACCUGCGUCUCCUGCUGGGAAGGUGAAUUCUUUACCAGUGAGCCACCUGGGAAGACCCGAUUCUCCUUUUCCCUACUAGAUAAUCUUCCUUGUUGUUUCCUGUUGUUUUGUGGUGGCACUGGGCCUUACUGCAUCAGGGCCUUUGCAUUUAGUAUUCUCAAUGCCUGGAAUUCUUUUCACCCUCCCCCUUCAAAAAAAAAAAAAGGCUUGAUUUGCUCCUUCCCCACUUUAACUUUUGCUGAAACUUCAGUGAGACCUUCUGUACCUGUCUCUCUUCAAAAAUGAGCAGUCCCAAUUUUGUGACACCUGUCUCAAUUUUCUAGUUUUCCUCCAUAUUGCUUUAUUAUCGGCAGACUAUACUUUGCUGAUGCAUUUUUUCCUCUCCUAUGAGAAUGUUAACACCCGAAGGAGAGAGAUUUUUGUCGUUUUCUUUUCUUUCUUCGAAUAUUACAUCCCCAGUAUUUAGGACAGUGCAGAGCUUAUUAGGCUCUCAAUAAAUACGUUGGGUGAAUGAAUAAAUGAAUGGAAAAUAAGUGCAAAUAAAUUAUUCAUAAUGAAGCUCAGAAAGGUAACAGGAUAGUAAAUGCUAUAGAGAGCUUAAGAAACAUGAAAAAUAAAAUAAGAAGGUCUAGUAUGAUGAGUUCCAGAGGUUAAAAUAGAAUAGGGAAAAAGCAAUAUUGAUUACUACAUUGAAAAAGACAACCCAGUAGAAAAAUGAACAAAAGAUAUGAACAGAAAUUUUGCACAAGCAGAAAGACAAGUGUUUUAUAAAACAUUAGAACUUUGUACCUGAUUAGUGCAAAAAAAAAAAAAAAAAUCAGAUAUCCUUUACAAUCUGUUCUCUGUAUUCAUGAACUUGGGUUUGUUGUUGUUUUGUUCUGUUUAGACUACACAUGAAAGUGAGAUCAUAUGGUAUUUAUCUUUCUUUGACUUAUUUCACUUAGCACAAUGUCCUCAAGUUCCAUCCAUGUUGCAAAUGGCCAGAUUUUUUUUCCCAUUACUGGGUGUAUUGUGUAUAUAUCCCACAUCUUCUUUAUUCAUCCUUCAAUUGAUACUUAGGUCACUUCCAUACUUGGUUAUUGUAAAUAAUACUGCAAUGAGCAUGGGGCUACAUAUAUCUAUAAGUUAGUAUAUUUGUUUUCUUCAGGUGAAUACCAAAAAGUGAAAUUGCUGGCUUUUGUGGUAGUUCUAUUUUAAAGUUUUUCUGUAACCACCAUACUCUUCUCCAUAGUGGGUGCACCAAUUUACAGUCCACCAACAGUGCACAAGGGUUUUCUUUUCUCUAUAUCCUCACCAACACUUGUUACUCUGGUCUUUUUGAUAAUAGCCAUUCUAACAGGUGUGACAUGAUAUCUCAUUAUAGAUUUG